rnacentral:rRNA from 1 species
GCCAGACUCCUACGGGAGGCAGCAGUGGGGAAUAUUGGGCAAUGGGCGCAAGCCUGACCCAGCAACGCCGCGUGAAGGAAGAAGGCUUUCGGGUUGUAAACUUCUUUUAUGAGGGACGAAAGAAAUGACGGUACCUCAUGAAUAAGCCACGGCUAACUACGUGCCAGCAGCCGCGGUAAUACGUAGGUGGCGAGCGUUGUCCGGAAUUACUGGGUGUAAAGGGAGCGUAGGCGGGAGUGCAAGUUGAAUGUAUAAACUAUCGGCUCAACUGAUAGAAGCGUUCAAAACUGCACUUCUUGAGUGAAGUAGAGGCAGGCGGAAUUCCUAGUGUAGCGGUGAAAUGCGUAGAUAUUAGGAGGAACACCAGUGGCGAAGGCGGCCUGCUGGGCUUUAACUGACGCUGAGGCUCGAAAGCGUGGGUAGCAAACAGGAUUAGAUACCCCCGUAA